AAGAGACAGCGCCGCCGGCCGUGGGGAGCGGACGCAGUGAUUUGCUCCCCCUCGUGCAGCAACCCCCACACCCAGCACCAGGCCCCCAGAACUCUCCUUCCAGCUGAACUCCCUGGGAACAAGUCAGUUGGGCUGAUCACUGAACUCACAUUUCUGGACCUGAGGAGCCUGUUCCUCUCACGCCCUCACCUGGCUGAGCCGCAGUAGUUCUUCAGUGGCAAGCUUUAUGUCCUGACCCAGCUAAAGCUGCCAGUUGAAGAACUGUUGCCCUCUGCCCCUGGCUUCGAGGAGGAGGAGGAGCUGCUUUCCCCAUCAUCUGGAAGCGGCUACAGGAAGCUGUGUCUGUUCGAUUUGGUGGGAGGAGAUGUGCAGGGAGCUGUAUCUUGUCCUCCGCUUGUGAAAAACUCAAGGAUGUGGAGAAGAGUAGACCGUGGAACCCUGCUCUUCUGCAGCCAAGCUGAGGGGCAGGAUGCGUGUGGGACAGUGGUAGAGAAGCAGGGGAUAGACUCAUAGGCUGCAACAAAGGUGACUCUGUCCCUGGACACUGCCUCCGUACUUUCUCCUUGCUUCACUGGCCACAGCAUCUCCCUCCAGCCCUCGCUAUGUGCCUCUGCCAUCUUCACCCAUCAUGGAGCAGAGGUGAGGAGA
ensembl:lncRNA MIR22HG MIR22 host gene